rnacentral:rRNA from 1 species
CCUACGGGGGACAGCAGUGGGGAAUAUUGGGCAAUGGACGCAAGCCUGACCCAGCCACGCCGCGUGAAGGAAGAAUGCUUUCGGGUUGUAAACUUCUUUUAAGGUGGAAGAGCAGUAGACGGUACCCACUGAAUUAGCCACGGCUAACUACGUGCCAGCAGCCACGGUAAUACGGAGGUGGCGAGCGUUGUCCGGAUUUACUGGGUGUAACGGGCGUGCAGCCGGAUAGACAAGUCAGAUGUGAAAUCCACGGGCUCAACCCGAGAACUGCAUUUGAAACUGGUUGCCUUGAGUGUCGGAGAGGUAGGCGGAAUUCGUGGUGUAGCGGUGAAAUGCUUAGAUAUAAGGAAGAACACCAGUGGCGAAGGCGGAUUACUGGACUAUAACUGACGGUGAGGCGCGAAAGCGUGGGGAGCAAACAGGAUUAGAUACCCGAGUAGUC